UUUUCCUGUGGCAGCCCGAGGUCCAUGUCACUUUAAGGAGGGGCUCGAGGGAGGCUUUUCAAGGCCAGAGAAGGACGAGGGUAAAAGGACAACCUAGCCCUCCAGCACAGGCCUGCUCUGGGGCAGACAGCUUUAGGAAAGAGCGUACGUCUGAAGACUGACUCCUUGACUAUCUGUGUCUACCUUCCCCUUGGAAAGUCUCUGCAUACCCCAGUGUGAAGACUGAGCCACAGGGUGCACUGAGCUCUUCCUCCCUCAAACCUAGGCAGGUGUCUAGGUGCUUAGGGAAAGGCAAAGACAUCUGAAAAGAAACAAAACAUGUCCACAGCCCUUACCCCAUCCCAAGAAAAACUGCAAGUAAAGACGAGGCUACAAAAAGGUGCCACUGGACAGAGGGCCAGACCGCCUUCCACUGCAUAAACAUUUCCCCCCGGCUGCAUCUUCCUAACUGGGAUUUAGCCAUGUGGAGAAGCUAAACUAUCAAUCCUCCAGGUUAACCUUGUUCCAUCAGAUUCUCCAGGUAUCCUUCAAAGAACUUCCUUCCUGCCUCUGCAAAUCAGAAAUUCAGCAAAAGGAGCAUCUGUCCUAAACACCUGCCAGGGGAGGACAAAGCAUUGAAGAACAAUUGCUCGUCUUUGCAGCAUUUCACAUUCCAUACAAGAGACAAAAGGCCCAACCCCCACUACCCUCUGAGAAGCAGAAAGGGGAACGGAACAGGACUGUGUCUCCUGGGUGUCGGCAGCCACGAGUGCUGCUGCAGGUCAGCUACUGAGACUCCAAACACCCUGGGGCCCAUGGCUGCUCACCUGUCUCUCAUCAAGUAAUUUCCCUUCUGGGCUGAUGUUUCCUCAUCUAUAUUGUAGAAGAAAGGCCUUCAGUCUUAUUUACCACGUAAGUGGAGGUGCCCAGGGGGUCAAAGAAUUAAUGUUUAUAAAGUGUUCUGCUCCCCAGGGAGACAGUGGUAAAGCAUAGGGUGUGGUUAUGGCUCAUUCAGGACCUCAUUUCUGAGGGUGGCUGGUGAGAGCUUCCCAUGACCAGGUGCUGCCAGCAACUUGAACUCCAAGUCUAACGAGGUAAGGUCCUCGAUCUAAAUAUCCUUUCUUAGCUUGACACUUAAUACCAACACUAAAAAUAACAAAGCAGCCAGGCCUUUAUGCUUUGUUAAUGCACUUACAGAAUCCAUUCCAGAACUGUUUUCUUCUUAAAGAAAAAUCCUGAAAGCAGAGUCCAGAACACUGACCGAAAGCUAUAAAUCACUACAGAGCCCUGCUGGGGUUCUUCAUGCUCCAUAGUAACUGCAUGGUGAGUAUCUCUAACUCAAGUAUCUGAAAUCUGAAAUGCUCCGAAAUCUAAAACUUUUUGAGCACCGACACGAACUAUGCUGUAAGAAAAUGCUCACUGGAGCACUUCAGAUUUCAGAUUUUCAGAUUAGGCAUGCUCAACGGGGAUAAUACAAAUAUUUCCAAAUCCAAGAAAAUCUGAAAUACGAAAUUCCUCUGGACGCAAGAAUUCGAUAGGUGACACUUGACCUGUAAUAAUUUAUAGGAAGGCCAUCAGAACCAAACCUGGUUUAAAUAGCACAGAAAACCUAUAGUAUAUAGUAUAUAGCAGGAGAAACCUAUAGUAUAUAGUAUAUAGCAGGAGAAAACCUAUAGUGUAUACAAAGUUUAGGGUCUUGGAAGUGAUGGACAUGUAAGAGUGUUCUUGAGAGAGCCUUUCCCAGGGUUCAAUCCUAAGUAAAAAUGACCCCAAAAACCCUCUAAGCAAAGGGUGGGGAAUCAGAAGUCCCAGAGGAGAACCUUUCAUUCUGGGUCUUUUCCAACAUUGCCAUGAGCUAAGAACAAAAUAAGGAGCCGGCCCUCAAGCGGUGCAAUGGUUUAGCAUGGAGACCUAACCUAUGAAUAAUUAGGAAACAACCUGGUGGUAGAUGCUAUACAUAAUAUGGAUCUAUACAAAGUGACAUGGAAGCAGAGGAAAGUAUAUUAAAGAAGUGAGAUGAUUUGGAGAGAUUUCAGCAAAAGAGGCAAGAAACUCAUCUUCAUCUUAUAGGACAGUUGCAAAAAUAAUCUUGUAAACAGCAAACUGUAAACAAACAUACAAGCUGGGGGCCUUUAAAAGCAUCUCAGACAGGAAGCCUCUACCCAACUUUUUUUGGGGUUUGCACAGAAAUGGCUAUGUCUGUAUUGCAUGCUGAGGGACAGUGGCGUAAUACACAGAUGUGAAAACACAAAGUUUGUUUAUUUAAAUAAUUAUCUGUUAGGGGUUACAUUUAAAAUAGUCCUUCUCAGAAAUUAAAAAAUUAAAAAGAACAUUUUAUUCUCAAGAAUCCAGUGAACAAGAGGCCUGUUUUCACUAUGUAAAAGAAAGAAACCAUGGCCCAUAAAGAAGGCUUCCCAGGGUGGCACUGCAUACGAGCGAGGGCAUAAGGUGCUCAGGAAUACUGAGUCAGCGCUGAGCUCAGAGGAGGCCGACAAUAACUGGAAAAAGACCUUAAGUGAAGUGUUUUGCAAAUACUACAAUUGAAAUUAAAAUAUAUUAUUCCAAAUAUAUGAACAUAAAAUCUCGAUAAUACCAAAUACAAGAUUACAGUACACACAGGCAUAC
rnacentral:lncRNA from 1 species